UGUUAUACCUUGAUCGAAGUUGUUGAUGAUGUGAAAAGCAAGAAGUAUUCAAGUGGAAUGACUGAAGAUUCAAGUGUGCAUCGGCAAUUAAAGGUUGAAACAGUUUUAAUGAGAUAAGAGAAAACACUUUUAGGAAGGGAUGUGAAAAGUUGUUGAAAAGAUCUUCUUCACUUAGGUAUUUGAAAUUAUGGAUACAAAUAUGAGAAUUUCAAGCAAGUAUGAAGUGUUCCUUCAAGGAAGUCCAACACAAAGCUCCGCUGAAGCAAGAAAAAAAAGGAAGUGUAUUCUACAACAAAAGAGAAACAAUGGUGGUUGUCAUCCUACAUCAACAUCCGAUUCUGUUGAGAGGACUCCAUUAUAAAAUAUUAAAAUGUUUCAACAACCAAUGUUGAACGAAGGAAUGUAUAUCACUCUCUUACUUAUGCUACUCCAAAUCUUAGUAAUAAUUUGUGUUAGUCAUCUACAAAAGGAAAAGAUCCAUCAAGAAAAAUCUCAUCAAGGAAUGUACAUCAAACUCCUUUGGGAAGUACUAAGCAAACAUCCGAUUAUGUUGAGAGGACUCCAUUAUCAAAUAUUACAGAUUGUGACAUAUCUAAAAUUGAACUAUCAAUGACUGAUGAGAUCUUAGCAGAUUCUGUGGUUAAGAAGAUUUAUGGAAUUUCUAAAGAUUAUAUUGAUCAUGGAGAUGCCAUCUUUGUGUGCUCUAAGUCUGAUGCAAUAUUAUGGGAAGGUGAAAUGCUUAGGGGAAAUCAAAAUCAUAAGAAAACCUCAUAUUCUCUUUGCUAUUCAAAUGGAGAUGUUGAGCUACCACCACCACCUCCACCUCCUCCAUUACUACGUCAUUUAUAUAUAAGUUAUACCUCAGAGUGUCAGAAUUUCAUGAAUAAUAUUCGAGCAUAUAACAUGAUGAUUUCGUUCGCAUCUCUUGGUGGCAAGAUUGACAAAAGUUAUCAGAGAGGCAAAGGUCCUUAUGAAUUUAGACUACAAAGUCAGAAUUAUCAUCGAAUGGGUAGUCUACUUCCGGGCGAUGGAGAAGAACCCAAAUUUUCACAGCUUUACACAUAUGAUUCAUAAAACGAGGUGGUAAAUCAUCAAAAGGCAGUAAGUUCUCAGAUAGUUUCUAAAACCACAACAAACAACCAGCUAGAUAUUACGAUCAUCAAAAGUCUUAAAAAUAUGUUGGAUUCUCGCAAUUCUCUUGUCCAGUCAUUCAGAAUGGUAAGAGAUUAUUUGCAAGAAAAUGAGUGGCAAGAAGUAACCCUCAAGCUUAUUGGAACAAGAGAUAAGGAUGGAAGAAUUCACAACUUGCCAAUAGCAUCAGAAGUUGUUGUGUUAAUAAUUGGUGAUUUUGAUGGAGCAUUUGAUAAAUGGGACAUUAUUGUUCAAAGAAGUCUGGUGGUCUUCAAAUAAUUAGUGAACUUCAUCCUUCUUACCUUGCUUUGCAAUAUCCACUUAUUUUCCCAUAUGCAGAAGAUGGUUAUAGAGUUGGUAUCAAACAUAGAGGGAUAGCGGUUGAUAAUGAGGUACUUAGAACCAACCUUACAAUUAGAGAAUUCUUUUGUUACAAAAUACAAGAUAGACACAAUCAAUUGUCAUUGUUAGUUAAUGCCAAAAAACUAUUUCAACAGUUUUUGGUUGAUGCAUACACGAUGAUAGAAUCUGCCAGGUUGAAUUAUAUAAGGAUACAACAACCGAAACUUUGAACCCAAAGUUUUAAGAAUUUGAAUGCUACUGUUGAAAGUGGAGAGAAUAAUGCCUCAAAUUGUGGUAAACCUAUAUUUUUACCUUCAUCAUUUACUCGUGGUUCUAGAUAUAUGAUGCAAAAGUACUUGGAUACUAUGGCAAUUUGUAAGUCUGUUGGAUAUCCCGAUCUAUUCAUAACAGUGACUUGUAAUCCCAAUUGGCCUGAGAUUUAUAGGUGUUUGCAUGAUAAAGCUCUUAAUCCUGAAGACAGGCCGGAUAUUAUCUCUAGAUUAUUCAAGUGUAAAUUGGAUCAUCUAAUAAAAUAUUUCAAGAAUCAUAAAUUCUUUGGUGACA